UGCUUGCCUUUCCUCUUUGUGCAGAUAACGAGGCCCUCUCCUCGCAUUUUUUCUUCAGAGUUUGCGAGAGAGUGAGAAGAAGGAAAGACAGAACCGAAGGGAAAUCCUCGAGGUUGAACAAAAGCACAGGCAACGUGCAGCUGUGUGCCGGUAUGAUUUCUGCAUGGACAAAAGUUGGACUCAGCCCUGAAGAUAAAAUUGGGACAAUGUGAAGCUGUGCCAGCGCAGCCUGCACCAGCGAGUGAUGCAAGAUCGUAUUCCACCUACCGCAAGUUUCAAGUUCACUCAGGAAUGUGGUUCCUUUGUUUGUUACUUCAGCGUUUUCUCUGUGUGGUUUUUGGUGGUCUGAGGUCCCUGCUCUGAGCCAGCAAGCACCAGCCUGCAUUUGGAUAGCACCGUCUCCUGUGGGAGGGUUUCCCAAGGGAGCGGUUCAGAAAGGACUCGUCAGAAAUUGAGGAAGACGGAGAGUGCGAGAAUUUUUGGCCAGAGAGGAGAAAGGUUUAAGAAAGACACGAGGGGCAACGUUUUAUUGAGAAGAAGGGUGUUUCGUGCUUGGAAUGAACUUCCUGAGGAAGUGGUGAGUGCAGGUCUUUGGCACGAUGUGUGAACUUUUGCAUUCAGUUGCGGAUGGGCGGUGCAUGAUUAACCCAAACAGGAGAAAAGCUCCAUCCGCGUCGAUGGUAGAGAGUAGGGCGAUGUGUGGAGGAGAAGGCUGAAGGAUUCGCAGCCAUCUACAGCUCGGAGUACUGAGUGGAUGAACCAUUUCUUUCCAAAUCCUCAGUAGCACAGGUGCCAGUCUUUAGCCAAUUCAAUUCACCCGA